AGUGAACGCUGGCGGUAGGCCUAACACAUGCAAGUCGAACGGCAGCACAGUAAGAGCUUGCUCUUACGGGUGGCGAGUGGCGGACGGGUGAGGAAUACAUCGGAAUCUACUUUUUCGUGGGGGAUAACGUAGGGAAACUUACGCUAAUACCGCAUACGACCUACGGGUGAAAGCAGGGGAUCUUCGGACCUUGCGCGAUUGAAUGAGCCGAUGUCGGAUUAGCUAGUUGGCGGGGUAAAGGCCCACCAAGGCGACGAUCCGUAGCUGGUCUGAGAGGAUGAUCAGCCACACUGGAACUGAGACACGGUCCAGACUCCUACGGGAGGCAGCAGUGGGGAAUGUUGGACAAUGGGCGCAAGCCUGAUCCAGCCAUACCGCGUGGGUGAAGAAGGCCUUCGGGUUGUAAAGCCCUUUUGUUGGGAAAGAAAAGCAGCAGGUUAAUACCCCGCUGUUCUGACGGUACCAAAAGAAUAAGCACCGGCUAACUUCGUG
rnacentral:rRNA from 1 species